UUGGAUCUGCUGUGGGAUUGAAGUCAGCAGCUCAACUCGGGUCAACACGGUCUAGUACUGAAAUCUGCACAGAAAAUGCAGAGUAGUGUAUCAGUACAACCAACCCCAUGUACUAGUAAGUGCUGAGCCUAACCUCCGCGAAGUAGUGAUGAGGCUAGGACAAGACACAUACAUAAACUUGUGCAGUUAAACAAUAUACGAGCACACUAACAACUACUAGAAGCUAAACAGAUAAUAACGGGAAGGGAAACAUGCUGAGGGGAUUGCAAGAUAAAUAAUCACAGCAGUAGAGAAAAUUUAAACAGCUAAUACACCUUGAACUAGUAACGGAAAAAUGCAUGACAUCACCCUUCGUGCUUUUACUCUCUACCUCACCAUAUAAAUCAAAUAAGAAUGGAACGAUAUCACCCUUCGUGCUUUUACUCUCAUCCUCACCACAUAAAUCAAAUAAGAAUAGCACGGCAUCACCCUUCGUGCUUUUACUCUCAUCCUCACCAUAUCAAUCAAAUAAGAAUGGCACGGCGUCACCCUUCGUGCCUUAACACUCUCCCUCACCAAAACAAGAAACAAUAAUAAUAGGGAGAUAGAAAUGACAACAACAACUAUUACUUCAACAAUUACUUCCACAAUAUCAAACUCAACUUUGAGUCAAUACUCAAUCAAUAACAAAAUUCGUACAUAUGAUAAGAACGAUCAACAUAACAAUAAACUAGUCUAAGCAUGGAUAGUAUUAUCACGGAAAGCUACAAUUUUAAGAAUAAGACUCACUGGCAUGUUAUGACCCGACAAUAAUGCAUAGGUACUCUUCACCUCUCUUAUACGUUGUACUCAACAUUCAAACACAUAGCAAGUAGCCAUAUAACACCUAAUCCAUCAAGCCAAGGUUAACCACAAUACUUACCUCGCUCUGCGUGCCAUUCAAUGCUCAAUUACCAUUUUUCCUCUAGUAUCCACCUCCGAACCACUCGUAUCUAGCCACAAUUAACUCAACAACAUCAACUAUUGCUAAAGGAAUCAACUACAAUGCAUUAAUAUAGAUUUCCCAAAUUUUCCCCCAAAAAGUCAAAAACUGACCCCGGGCCCGCUUAGUCAAAACCCGAGGUUCGGACCAAAUCCAUUUAUCCAUUCACCCCCGAGGCCGAAUAUGCAAAUUAUUUUUGAAAUCCGACCCCAAAUUGAGGUCUAAAUCUCAAUUUCCCAAAAAUCUCUAAUUCUACCUAAACCCCCAAUUUCUACCAUGGAAAUCCUAGAUUACAGGUUGUAAAUUCAUGGAAUGCAAUGGGUAAUUGAAAUAAAAUGGUUUGGAAUCACUUACCAAUACUUUAGGGAAGAAAUUUGCUCGAGAGAAUCGCCCCUAGGCUGUUUGGCUUUUGUAAAUUUGAAAGAAUGGCCUAAGUCCCAUAAAGGGACCGUUUAAUAGCUGGGUGACAGUGUUCAUCGCGUUCGCGAGGACAUUGUCGCGUUCGUAAAGAGAAGCAUCCUAAAGACUUAUGCGAUCGCAAUAUUCCCAUCGGGUUCACGAAGGCUAUGCCCCUUGGCCUUCGUGUUCGCAAGCCCUCACUCGCGUUUACGAUGAAGAAAGACUGAGCCCCUCCCCCAUGUCCCUAAAGCAUCGCAUUCGCGUUGGGCUGGUCGCGUUCCGAAGGGUAAAGCCCGCAUCACUCUGUGUUCGUGACCCAACCUUCGCGUUCGCGUAGUGUAAAAUCCUUCCCAGCCGAGAUUCCAAUUCACGAUCACGAGAAUGGCUUCGCGAUCGAGAAGCACAAAAUAUCAGGACACCAGCUGCAGUAAACAUACCAGAUUUCUAAGUCUAAAACAUCCAUAUCCUAUCCAAAACUCACCCGAGCUCUCGGUACUCAAAACCAAACAUGCACACAAGUCUAAAAACAUCAUACGGAUUUGCUUGCCUGAUCAAAUCGCCAAAAUAAUACCUAGAACUACGAAUUUAGCAAAAAAUCGAAUGAAAUUUUCAAGAAAGCUUUAAAACUUCUAUUUUCUCAACCCGACAUCACCUUUCGUUCUUUUGCUCUCAACCUCACCAAAUAAUCAAUAGAAAAGGCACGGCAUCACCCUUCAUGCUUUUACUCUCAACCUCACCAUAUAAAUCAAAUAAGAAUAGUACGGCAUCACCCUUCGUGCUUUUACUCUGAUCCUCACCACAUAAAUCAAAUAAAAAAGACACGGCAUCACCUUUCGUGCUUCUACUCUCAUCCACACCAUAUAAAUCAAAUAAGAAUGACACGGCGUCACCCUUUGUGCCUUAACACUCUCCCUCACCAAAACAAGGAACAAUAAUAAUAGGGAGAUAGAAAUAACAACAACAAGUCUUACUUCAACAAUUGCUUCCACAAUAUCAACCUCGACUUUGAGUCAAUACUCAAUUAAUACCAAAAUCCGUACAUAUGAUAAGAACGAUCAACAUAACAAUAAACUAGUCUAAGCAUGGAUAGCAUGAUCACGGAAAGUUAAAAUUUUUAGAAUAAGACUCUCUAGCAUGUUAUGACCCGAAAACAACGCAUAGGUACUCGUCACCUCACCUAUACAUUAUAAUCAACAUUCAGACACAUAGAAAGUAGGCAUAUGAGACCUAAUCCCUCAAGCCAAGGUUAACCACGACAAUUACCCUCCACUCAAUGCUCAAUUAUCGCUUUUCCUUUAGUAUCCACCUCUAAAUUACUCGUAUCUAGCUACAAUUAACUCAACAACAUCAUUAUUGCUAAAUAAAUCAACUACAAUGCAUAAAUUUAGAUUACCUAAACUUUCCCCCAAAAAGUCAAAAACCAACCCAAGCCCGCUUGGUUAAAACCCGAGGUUCGGAACAAAAUCUAUUUACCCAUUCACCCCCAAGCCUGAAUAUCCAAUUAGUUUUGAAAUCCGACCCCAAAAUUGAGGUCUAAAUCCCAAUUUCCCAAAAAUCCCUAAUUCUACCCAAACCCCAAUUUCUACCAUGAAAAUCCUUGAUUUUAGGUUGUAAAUUCCUGGAAUGCAAUGGGUAAUUGAAAGAAAAUGGCUUAGAAUCACUUACCAAAACUUUGGGGAAGAAAUUAGCUUGAGAGAAUCGCCCCUACGACGUUUGGCUUUUGAAAAUUUGAAAGAAUGGCCUAAGUCCCGUAAUGGGUUGUUUAAUAGUUGGGCGACAGUGUUCAUCACGUUCGCGAGGACACUGUCGCGUUCGCAAAGAGCAGCAUCCUAAAGACUUGCGCAAUCGCUAAAUUCCCAUCGCGUUUGUGAACACUACACCCCCUGGCCUUCGUGUUCGCAAGCCCUUGCUCGCGUUCGCGAUGAAGAAUGACUGACCCCCUCCCCCGGGUCCCAAAAGCAUCACGUUCGUGUUGGGCUGGUCGCGUUCGCGUAGAGUAAAAUCCUCCCCAGCCCAGAUUCCCCUUCGCGAUCACGAAGCACGUAAUAUUAGGACACCGGAUGCAGAAAAACACACCAGAUUUCUAAGUCUAAUACAUCUCGUAGCCUAUGACAAACUCUUCCGAGCCCUCGGUAAUCCAAACUAAACAUGUACACAAGUCUAAAAACAUCAUACGCACUUGCUUGCAUGAUCAAAUCACAAAAAUAACACCUAGAACUACAAAUUUAGCACAAAAUCGGAUGAAAUUUUUAAAAAAGCUUUAGAACUUUUAUUCUCUCAAACGGGCGUCCAAAUUACAUCAAACCAACUCCGGUUCUCACCAAAUUUCACAGACAUGGCUUAAAUGUUAUAUUGAACAUGUACUGGGCUCCGGAAACAAAAUACAGACCCGAUACUAACAAGAUCAAACAUUAUCAAUUUCUUAAAAACAAUUAAAUUUUUAGACUUACAAUUUCUAACAAAAACUCAUAACUCGGGCUAGAGACCUCUGAAUCCAAUUCCGGGCAUACGCCCAGGUCUCACAUUUCAAUACGGACCCACCGGGACUGUCAAAAGACGAGUCCGGGUAUGUUUACUUAAAACUUUGACCAAAGUAACUAAAUCAACUAUUAAAGGCAAAAAAUAUUAUUUUCAUCAACUUUCAACAUAAAAGCUUUUCGGAAACAGCACACGCAAUUUGAGGAGGAAUAAAAUUAGGUUUUGAAGGCCUCGGAACACAGAAUUUGGUUUUAAAUCAUAAGAUGACCAUUCGGGUCAUCACAUUCUCUACCUCUAAAACAACCGUUCGUCCUCAAACUAACAUAGAAAAGUACCUGAGCUGGGUAAAAGGUAGGGGUAUCUACUCUUCAUAUCAGACUCGGACUCCCAGGUAGCUACCUGAACAGGCUGACCUCUCCACUGCACUCAAACUGAAGGAUAACUCUUCGACCACAACUGAAGAGCCUGCCGGUCUAGAAUGGCUACCGGCUCCUCCUCGUAGGUCAAAUCCUUGUCCAGCUGGAUAGUGCUGAAGUCUAACACGCGAGAUAGAUCGCCAUGAUACUUACAAAGCUUGGACACAUGGAAUACUGGAUGUACUGCUGAUAAGCCUGGUGGCAACGCAAGUCCAUAGGCCACCUCUCCCACUCGUUAAAGGAUUUCAAAAGGCCCGAUAUACUCAUAGGGAUCAAGUUGCCCUUCUUUAAAAACCUCAUUACACCCUUCAUGGGUGACACACAGAGAAACACUCGCUCUCCGACCAUGAAUGCAACAUCACAGACCUUACGGUCGGUAUAACUCUUCUGCCUGGACUGAGCUGCGCGAAGUCUAUCCUGAAUGAUCUUAACCUUAUCCAAGGCAUCCUGUACCAAAUCUAUACCUAAUAACCGAGUCUUCCCCAGCUCAAACCAUCCAACAGGUGACCGACACCAUCUACCAUAUAAUGCCUCAUAAGGGGCCAUCUGAAUGCUCGACUGGUAGCUGCUGUUGUAGGCAAACUCCGCUAACGGCAAGAACUGAUCCCAAGAACUCCAAAGUCAAUAACACAGGCACGGAGCAUAUCCUCUAAGAUCUGAAUAGUACACUCGGACUGUCCGUCUGUCUGAGGAUGAAAUAUUGCGCUUAGCUCAACCACAUGCCCAGUUCACUCUACACUGCCCUCCAAAAAUGCGAGAUGAACAGCAUACCUCGAUCCAAAAUGAUAGACACGGGCACACCAUGAAGGCAGACGAUCUCACAUAUGUAAAUCUUUGCAAACCGCUCUAAAGAAUAGGAAACUACCAUAGGAAUGAAAUGCGCUGAAUUGGUCAGUCUAUCUCCAAUAACCCAAACUACAUCGAACUUCCUUUGAGUUCGUGAGAGUCCAACAACAACAUUCAUAGUGAUACGCUCCCACUUCUACUCAGGAAUCUCUAUCUUGUGAAGCAAACCACAAGGUCUCUGAUGCUCGUACUUUACUUCUUGACAAUUUAGACACCGAGCUACAUAUGCAACUAUAUCCUUCUUCAUCCUCCACCAAUAAUACUCCAGCAAAUCCUGAUACAUCUUGGCGGUGCCCGGAUUAAUAGAAUACCGGGAACUAUGGGCCUCUUCUAGAAUUAACUCACGAAUUCCAUCCACAUUAGGCACAAAAACACGACCCAGCAUCCUCAAAACUCCAUCAUCUCUAUUCGCAACCUGCUUGGCAUCCCUGUGCCGCAAUGUGUCCCUAAGGACAAGCAAAUGAGGGUCAUCAUACUGCCCCUCCCUAAUGCGCUCAAACAAUGAAGACCGAGCAACCACACAAGCUAGAACACGACUAGGCUCAGAAACAUCCAACCUCACGAACUGAUUGGCCAAAGCCUGAAUAUCUAAUGCAAGCGGUCUCCCGCCUACUGGAAUGUACGCAAGGCUGCCCAUACUAGCUGACUUCCUACUCAAAGCAUCGGUCACCACAUUGGCCUUCCCGGGAUGAUACAAGAUAAUGAUGUCAUAGUCUUUCAAUAGCUCUAACCAUGUCCUCUGCCUCAAAUUGAGCUCUUUCUGCUUGAACAAGUACUCCAAACACCGAUGAUCCGUGAAUGCCUCACACGGCACACCGUAAAGAUAGUACAUCCAAAUCUUCAGAGCGUGAACAAUGGCUGCUAGCUCUAGAUCAUGAACAAGGUAAUUCUUCUCGUAAACCUUCACCUGUCGCGAAGCAUAAGCAAUAACAUUGUCAUCCUGCAUCAAUACCACACCAAGUCCAACUCGUGAUGCAUCACAAUAUACCUUAUAAGAUCUUGAACCCGUGGGUAACACCAAUGCCAACACCAUAUUCAAAGCUGUCUUGAGCCUCUGAAAGUUCGCCUCACACUCGUCUGACCAUCUGAACGAGGCACCAUUCUAGGUCACUCUGGUCAAUGGGGCUGCUAUAGAUGAGAACCCCUCCACAAACCGAUAGUAAUAAUCCGCCAAUCCCAAGAAACUCCGGAUCUUUGUAGCUGAUGUGGGUCGAGGCCAAUUCUUGACUGCCUCAAACUUCCUAUGAUCCACCUGAAUACCCUCAGUUGAUGCAACGUGCCCAAGAAGGCGACUGAGUCCAACCAAAACUCGCAUUUUGAAAACUUAGCAUACUGUCGCACCUCAUUUUUUUUACACCCCGAGGGGGUAUAUAAUGGAGUUUUUCCAAUUAAAGUGAUAUUAUUCGAAAUGAGAUUAUUUUAUUUAAUUUUUCAGAGUCGCCACUUGGAAUAGUUUAAUUGGUGUUCCAAGUCACUGGUCUAUUUUAAAUACCAAAUCGAGGAAAAUUUGACUUUACUUUAUAAGUCUGCGAACCAGAAAUUCUAGAUAAGAAAUUCUGUUAACCGGAAGAAGGUGUUAGGCACUUCCGGGUUCUGUGGUUCUAGCACGGUCGCUUUAACUAUUAAUAUUAGCCUAUUAUCUGAUUAACUACACGUUUUAAACCCAUAUAACUUUUUAAAAACCGCUUUUUAAUAAUUAUUGUUACAUAUUACGAAUCAUGUCACAGGAAUCGUACCCAUGAUCUACAACGCGUUUAAUUUUUGAAAGAUUAAAUUGUGGUAGGAUCACAUAAAUGUACCCCCAAAUUUUAGUAAUUAAGCGUCGCGACUACGUCACGGGAACCGUACCCGUAGCUAUGACAAUUAUUUAAUUAACACUCCUAAGGCAAACUACGAAAGUUCAAGGCAAUUUCUAUACUAAUUUUAUAUUUAUGUGAAGGCCAUGGAUUAUAGGAUUUAUUUUUGUAUGGCGAACCUCAAGUUAUUUUCUAAAAAAGGAUUAGCUCUUGAUCUAAUCUUGUGAGGGCCAUGUAUUAUAAGUUUAAAGCAUGGCACACCUCAAAUUAUUUUAAGAAAAGGGUUAUAUAUUUUAAAGGCAAACUAAAGGUUCUCCUAUUUUAAUCUAAUUUAAAAUUAAUUAUCACAACCACGUCACGGGAACCGUACCAUAGUUGUAAUAAUUUAAUUAAUCAUGCCUAAAGAAAGCUACGAUGUUCAUUAAUUAUUUCUUUCUAAGUUUGAGAUUAUUGUGAGGCCAUGAGAAGUAGGGAACACUAUUUGGGGAAGAGGCGUAAGAUUAGCUAUUGGGUUUAUUAGCAAGUUCAAUUACCCUACUAAGCUAGAAGGAUUUGGACAAUAAAGCGCCUUCAAGCACUGUACGACAAACAAUCUGAAAUACCCAUUUCCUGCCAACCAAAGAAACUACUUUGAAAGAAAGAAUAAAACAUGACUACCGAGCGUAAUAAGAAAAAUAACAAACUGAUAUAAUCAUAUGACACAUCCAAUUCUAAAUUAAAGCAAUGUCACGAUGGUGCUGCUACACUUCUUUGCUAACUGUUACAAAGAGAUGUACUGUUUACAUUUUUCAAUGAGAUUUUCUCAUGAAUUAUGUUCUCUACAUAUUGGUUUCCUCAACCUUUUAGGGAUAAAUAUUUCGAGAACUCAAGCUUUGUUUAUAGCUGCUGGUAUUAUAAAACAAACUCAAUGAUAAAAAUAUCUGAAAGUUGACAUGCUCAUAAACUGAGAUUUAAUCAUUCAAUACACUAUGGCUUCUUAUUCAUGUAUGCUAGUUCAACAAUUAGUAAAUUAACACCAAGUACAGCUGAUUCAGGCAUAAAAAUAUGGGAAUUUAUCAAGCUGAAUUUCAUGUUUGUCUGGAAUCAGCAUAUUUCAGACACAAUUACCAAAUAGCUUUGCAAAAUAUCACGUGUUAACAAAAAUAGCUCUCAAACAUCAAAUUAAGAACUAAACUCAACUACUACAAUUAACGCCCUUGUUGUGGCAGUCAAGCCCUUGAAACAAACCGAAUACCAGUCAAAUUCUAUGGCUAGAUACCAAUGCAUUCAUUACGUCCAAUUUUGUGGGAAAAAAAACUAAAGUAUGCAUCUGACCAGCAGGCUUAGAAAUCACAACAACUAACGAGGAAAGUUAAACCACCAGUAAAUCAACAAAAACGAUUUGACACAGAACAACAUGAUAAAAUUCAUACGAAACAAAGCCCACAAGGAAUAUACCAUUUGUAUUGAAUCUAAUAUUCAAGCUCUACAACAUGAAAAUCACUGAGCAAACAAACUUACCUAGGCAACAGGUGAAUCAACUAGCAAAGUGCCAAAUAAAGGCUAAGAGAAAGUGAAGAAGCUCAGCAAAUCAGCAGUAAAAAUCAACAGAAAUCAAUGGCAAAUCAACAGCUUUGAGAACUGAAAUCAACUCAAUCCAAACCCAUUCUUGAUAACCUAAAAUCAACAAAAACAAUGCUAAAAACGUUUUUUGUGCUUUCUCUGAUUUCUUUUGAAAAUGAAGCUCAAAUGAAGAACACAAACUCAGACUAUUUAAUUUCUUAUAUUUUUUCCGUUUUCUGAAGAGAGCAGACUAAAAAAAAGGCCUCAAGAAAAGGAAAAACUUAAAAAACCCUAGAAAUUUACUCUACUAAUUUUCUAAAAAUUUCUUCUCCUCCCUCACAAGAACAGAUCUUAACUUAUAUAUAACUUCCAAAAUUCUCGAAGCUUCUGCCUAGGAUCCGAAAAAUUCCCUCAUUUGUGAACGAUUUUAGGGAUAAAUAGAAGGCAUGGAUCGAUUUACAUCCUUCCACGGCUCCCAUUCAUCCAGUUAAAUCGCUCCAUAGUACAGAAAUCGUGCAAAUUCGGAGGGAGUAUUCUUUUUUCUCUGAUAGAAAUCCGUUUGAAUAAAGUGACGUGGAGAGGAGGGGACCCAUUUGAGUGAACUCGCCUGAGUUUCAGGCGAGUUGAGGUUGGCUCAGCGGAGAAGAUGAUGAAAAGUACGGGUGGGGCGUCGUUUCUGUAUCUUCAGAUUUAGGGUUUGGAUAUA
rnacentral:lncRNA from 1 species